AGUGAACGCUGGCGGCGUGCUUAACACAUGCAAGUUGAACGAGAACGGAAUAUAGCUUACUAUAUUUGUCAGCUAAGUGGCGCACGGGUGAGUAAUGUAUAGAUAACCUGCCCUUAAGAAAGGAAUAACAGUUGGAAACGACUGCUAAUGCCCUAUAUGCCUUUAAUACAUAAGUAUGCAAGGGAAACGCUUUAGUGCUUAAGGAUGGGUCUGUAUGGUAUCAGCUUAUUGGUGAGGUAAUGGCUCACCAAGGCUAUGACGCCUAACUGGUUUGAGAGGAUGAUCAGUCACACUGGAACUGAGACACGGUCCAGACUCCUACGGGAGGCAGCAGUGGGGAAUAUUGCACAAUGGACGAAAGUCUGAUGCAGCAACGCCGCGUGGAGGAUGACACAUUUCGGUGCGUAAACUCCUUUUAUAUAGGAAGAUAAUGACGGUACUAUAUGAAUAAGCACCGGCUAACUCCGUGCCAGCCGCCGCGGUAA
rnacentral:rRNA from 1 species